ACUCAUACCUGGCAGGGGAGAUACCAUGAUCAUAAAAAUGGUUUUCCUAGGCUCAUCUAUUGCACUUUCCCAAAUGUGAUUUCCCCAAAUGUGGGAAAAUCAACUGCCUAAGUGGGGGACUGUGUUUGUGGCUUCCCCUG
rnacentral:snRNA from 1 species